rnacentral:rRNA from 1 species
AGUAGGGAAUUUUCGGCAAUGGGGGAAACCCUGACCGAGCGACGCCGCGUGAGUGAAGAAGGCCUUCGGGUUGUAAAGCUCUGUUGUAAGGGAAGAAUAGCAGUGAUAGGGAAUGAUCAUUGUGUGACGGUACCUUACCAGCAAGCCACGGCUAACUACGUGCCAGCAGCCGCGGUAAUACGUAGGUGGCAAGCGUUAUCCGGAAUUAUUGGGCGUAAAGGGAGCGCAGGCGGUUUAUUAAGUCUGAGGUGAAAAUUCGGGGCUCAACCCCGUAUUGCCUUAGAAACUGGUAGACUAGAGUGCAGGAGAGGUGAGUGGAAUUCCAUGUGUAGCGGUAAAAUGCGUAGAUAUAUGGAGGAACACCAGUGGCGAAGGCGGCUCACUGGCCUGUAACUGACGCUGAGGCUCGAAAGCGUGGGGAGCAAAUAGGAUUAGAUACCCUAGUAGUCCACGCCGUAAACGAUGGAUACUAAGUGUUGGAGUAGAACUUCAGUGCUGUAGUUAACGCAAUAA